rnacentral:lncRNA from 1 species
CCCAGCCACGGCCCUGAUCCGGAGCCUCUGUUACCUGGGGCAGCAGAAGGGAAUGAGAAGACAGCUGUAAAUCAUGUCCGGCCUGCUGAUGACAUUCUCCUCUCUUAGCUAAAGGACUGAGGAUGGCUUUUCUGUACCAGCCUGGGCCUGCUGAGCUGACCGUGUUUGAAGGGCCAGUCGUGGGCUAAGCUAGGCAAGCUGAGAUCAGUCCUGCAGGAACCUGAGGUCAUCACAGGAUGUGAAGACAGAGGUCAGGAGCUUGUGGGACCAGGAAUGCGCGAGGAGAUCGAAAACACUGAGCAUUAGGAAACUGUUACCUGGAGGAAAGGCCCAUUGAGGAAGGUACCGUGGUGACCCAAAAACAGCCCUGGAGGAAACGUGCCAUCCAGAGCUGGCUAGGACCUACUGAUGGGUGUCCUGGGAAAAUGGCCCCGCUCCACUCCCCACCCCGGGACCUCUGUGAGUGACCUUGAUAGCUACAAGUGGAGAUGGGUCUUUGAGCUAUCAGAUGGAAGGCUGUCUCGCAGACCUAUGCUGGAUUUUACAUAAAUAAGAAAUGUAAGUGUAACUUUGUUGUGCUAAGUCACUGAGAUUUUUGGGUUUGUUUGUUAUUACAGCAUAGCUUAACACUGCUCUGACUAAUGCCAUAUACAAAGCUUAAACACGUGUGGGGGUUCAUUUCUUCAUCUGCCGGCACCCAAGAAGAAUUGCUUUCCUAAAAACUUAAAAUGUAUAUAAAUUAUAUGUACUUAUUAUGGAAAAUUAUGAAAUACAAAUAAACAAAAAAGAAAGUAAAAAUCAUCUAUAAUCCUCUUGGUCAGAGUUAUCUACUGCUAACAUUUUGGUGUCCAGACAUCAUGUUUUUUCUAUGUAUAUAGAAAUAUAAAUUUAUGUAUAUAUGCACAUAAACU